rnacentral:rRNA from 1 species
GUCAGCGAUGAUCGGAUCACUGGGCGUAAGGGCGCGUAGGCGGCGUGCUAAGUCAGAUGUGAAAUCCCACGGCUCAACCGUGGAAGUGCAUUUGAAACUGGCAUGCUUGAGUACCAGAGGGGAAGGUGGAAUUCCCGGUGUAGAGGUGAAAUUCGUAGAUAUCGGGAGGAAUACCGGUGGCGAAGGCGACUUUCUGGCUGGAUACUGACGCUGAGGCGCGAAAGCGUGGGGAGCAAACAGGAUUAGAUACCCUGGUAGUCCACGCCGUAAACGAUGUGAACCAGAUGUUGGAGGUGUUGAUCCCUUCGGUGUCGGAGCUAACGCAUUAAGUUCACCGCCUGGGGAGUACGGUCGCAAGAUUAAAACUCGAAAGAAUUGUCGGGGGCCCUUAUAAUC